ensembl:lncRNA
CAUAACGGCAUCAUUGUACCUGUCCCAAAAUGGCAUCAUAGUAUCUGUCCCAUUAUGGCAUCACUGUAUCUGUCCCACAAUGGUUUCAUAUUAACUGUCCCAUAAUGGCGUAAUUUUAUCUGUCCCAUAAUGGCAUCUUGUAUCUGUCCCAUAAUGGUGUCAUAUUUUCUGUCCCAUAAUGGCAUCAUUUCAUCUGUCCCAUAACGGCAUCAUUGUAUCUGUCCCAUAACGGCAUCAUUGUAUCUGUCCCAUAAUGGCAUCAUGGUAUCUCUCCCAUAACGGCAUCAUUGUAUCUGUCCCAUGAUGGCAUCAUUGCAUCUGUCCCAUAACAUCAUAUUAUAUGUCCCAUAAUGGCAUCAUUGUAUCUGUCCCAUAACAGCAUCAUUGUAUAGAUAGACAUUGUAUCUGUCCCAUAAUGGCAUCAUUGUAUCUGUCCCAUAACGGCAUCAUUGUAUCUGUCCCAUAACGGCAUCAUUGUAUCUGUCCCAUAACGGCAUCAUUGUAUCUGUCCCAUAAUGGCAUCAUUGUAUCUGUCCCAUAACGGCAUCAUUGUAUCUGUCCCAUAACGGCAUCAUUGUAUCUGUCCCAUAACAGCAUCAUUGUAUAGAUAGACAUGGCAUCAUUGUAUCUAUAGACAUGGCAUCACUGUAUCUGUCCCAUAACGGCAUCAUUUCAUCUGUCCCAUAACGGCAUCACUGUAUCUGUCCCAUAACGGCAUCAUUGUAUCUGCCCCAUAACGGCAUCUUUGUAUCCGUCCCAUUACAUCAUAUUAUAUGUCCCAUAAUGGCAUCAUUUUAUCUGUCCCAUAAUGGCAUCAUUGUAUCUGUCCCAUAAUGGCAUCACUGUAUCUGUCCCAUAAUGGCAUCUUUGUAUAUGUCCCAUAAUGGCAUCACUGUAUCUGUCCCAUAAUGGCAUCAUUGUAUCUGUCCCAUAACAUCAUAUUAUAUGUCCCAUAAUGGCAUCAUUCCAUCUGUCCCAUAACAGCAUCAUUUCAUCUGUCCCAUAAUGGCAUCAUUUUAUCUGUCCCAUAAUGGCAUCAUUGUAUCUGUCCCAUAAUGGCAUCAUUGUAUCUGUCCCAUAACGGCAUCAUUGUAUCUGUCCCAUAAUGGCAUCAUUGUAUCUGUCCCAUAAUGGCAUCAUUGUAUCUGUCCCAUAACGGCAUCAUUGUAUCUGUCCCAUAAUGGCAUCAUUGUAUCUGUCCCAUAACUGCAUCAUUGUAUCUGUCCCAUAAUGGCAUCAUUGUAUCUGUCCCAUAAUGGCAUCAUUGUAUCUGUCCCAUAAUGGCAUCAUUGUAUCUGUCCCAUAACGGCAUCAUUGUAUCUGUCCUAUAACGGCAUCAUUGUAUCUGUCCCAUAACGGCAUCAUUGUAUCUAUAGACAUGGCAUCAUUUUAUCUGUCCCAUAACGACAUCAUUGUAUCUGUCCCAUAACAGCAUCAUUGUAUUUGUCCCAUAACAGCAUCAUUUUAUCCAUCCCACAAGGGCAUCAUUGUAUCUGUCCCAUAAUGGCGACGCUAUUAAUAAUGGCAACCCCAUUGAGGGCAUCUCAAUUUUGAAGUAGUCCAUUUUCUUCUACAACUUCUUCAAUGAGUUGGUAAACAAACUGAAAGGGAGCACACUGCCCCCCGCAGGAUGUUGUCUGAACAGGUAUAAAGCCAAGGAUGCUGAUUUAAUGCCACCUGCAAUUAUGGGAUGUUUGCUCACACAUAUAAUGAAUUGGCUGAUCCCUGCUGAUGACCCAGAUGGAAUCAUUCCUUAACCCAUAGGAAGUCUCACCCAGCUGACUACUUCCAAAUGGUGAAAGUCCUCAGUGGCGCUGCACAUCCUAAAACAGUUUUAUGGGCACUAGAGUCCUCUAUCUAACUCUAUGGUUGGGAAACACCACUUACCUCCUUGUGUAUUCUCAAUAGUGUAGCCUUAGGGGUGUGUUCA